rnacentral:rRNA from 1 species
GAUGAACGCUAGCGAUAGGCCUAACACAUGCAAGUCGAGGGGCAGCAUAGAGUAGCAAUACUUUGAUGGCGACCGGCGCACGGGUGAGUAACACGUAUGCAACCUACCUCCAUCAGGGGAAUAACCCGGAGAAAUUCGGACUAAUACCGCAUAAUACAGGGAUGCCGCAUGGCAAUAUUUGUUAAAGAUUUAUCGGUUGGAGAUGGGCAUGCGUUCCAUUAGGUAGUUGGUAAGGUAACGGCUUACCAAGGCACCGAUGGAUAGGGGAACUGAGAGGUUUGUCCCCCACACUGGAACUGAGACACGGACCAGACUCCUACGGGAGGCAGCAGUGAGGAAUAUUGGUCAAUGGACGAGAGUCUGAACCAGCCAAAUCGCGUGAAGGAAGACUGCCCUACGGGUUGUAAACUUCUUUUGUACAGGAAUAAAAGACAUUACGUGUAAUGUAUUGCAUGUACUGUACGAAUAAGCAUCGGCUAACUCCGUGCCAGCAGCCGCCGUAA